rnacentral:rRNA from 1 species
CGUGGGUAACCUGCCCAAGAGAUCGGGAUAACACCUGGAAACAGAUGCUAAUACCGGAUAACAACAGAUGAUGCCUAUCAACUGUUUAAAAGAUGGUUCUGCUAUCACUCUUGGAUGGACCUGCGGUGCAUUAGCUAGUUGGUAGGGUAACGGCCUACCAAGGCGAUGAUGCAUAGCCGAGUUGAGAGACUGAUCGGCCACAUUGGGACUGAGACACGGCCCAAACUCCUACGGAGGCAGCAGGG